UGGUAUUAUCUAAUAUUUUAAUUGUGUUUACAUUUUUAUGAAUUUGAAUUUUUUUAUGAAUUUGUGCAUUUUUUUAAAACAGUAGUUUAAAAACUACUUAACUUGCAAACCAAAGAUUACUUUGUAUCAUUGUCUUUUAAUUUCUUUGGUCAUUUUGCAAUCCAAUUAUGUGGCACCGGUAGAAGCAGCAUCUUCAAACUGACUGAAAAGCAGUAUGCUUUACUCUAAGACUACAUGCAUGAUGAUUUGCACCUGCAAGUGUAUGUAUAGCAUAUUGAAGAUGCAAUAAUUUGCCAUAUUUGAGGCAUAAACACAGUAGUUUAGAUUGUAGUAAAUACUAAUUGGAAAAAAAAAACAGUAUGUGUGAUCCUACAGUGUUGUUACUCUGAUGUGUACAAGCAUGGUGAAUAUUAUAGAUGUAAAAACAUUUUCUGCAGCAACAGAAAACAUCACUGAAAUCUUGUCCAGUAGUGGUCCUAGUAUUUAAAGAUAUGUCCAUUAAUUAUUGGUUCAAAUCUGUAUCUCAUAUUCACAGUGGUGCUUUGCAUUUGUUGGCAUUUAUUUACGGAUUAUGACUUUAAUUUAGAGGGUAACACAAGAACCAUAUUACAGCAGGACCGACAGCUAGCUUAUUAGCUCCACAGCAGUUCACUCGGUAACACAGCUAGCUAGCAGAUACACCUGCACUAUUGCUCGCCCUGUCGAAAUUAAAUGGUUAACGUUAAUAUGCCGGCAGUUUGCUAAAGUAUUUCCGUGACGUACACCGCCAGCAUUCGGUCAGUUACACGCUUCGCUAACGUCUGUAGCAGCGACGCUAGCUCACAACAAGCUGGUGACAUGACUCUUGUUUACAUCCCUGUACCUGCUAGCUAAAAGAGCAGCCGACGCUCCAUGUGUGUUGCCACGGCAACGGAGCGGGAGGACGAGGGAGAGGCGCUGCUGUCAUCCACAUCAGUGCACCGCUGCAGACACACAGCAGUUCACACGGGCUGUGUAUGGAGUUGGGAUCUCCUGCCAUGCCUGUGACUAGCUGCUUCGUCAUCUCUGUGCCACACCCUGCCGAGGAAAAGGACAACCACCUGACCUUGAUGCUCACAUCAGCCCAACCCUCACUUUUUCCCUCCGCCGCCUAUUACUGAGAGGUACCAUUUAUUUCUACUCUCUUGAGGCGUCUUGAUAGUGUAAGGAUUUUUAUUGCAUUCCAUUGCUUUGCAUGUAGCUGUCACAAAAAACACCUCCAAGGAA